AUUUAUCCAUGCUGUUGCAUGUGGUGGGCAGAAUUACAAGAAGACCCCCAAGAUUCCUCACCCCUUCUUGUAUGCACAUUCCCAUAGGUAUUGAUCUAGGCGCUGCUGUGAAGGGAAUUUGCAGAUGUAAUUGGCCUAAAUCAGUUGGCUUUAAUAUCAGGAAAUUGUCCUCAGUGGGCAUGGCCAUAUGGAGCCCUUACAAGGGACUGGGCUCUUCCUGGUGAAAAAGAUUUGAAUCACGAGAGUGGCUGAUAUGAGGGAAAUUCUUUGCUGUUGCCUUCGAAGACAGAAGAGGUCCACAAGGCAAAGGAUGCAGACAGCCUGUAGGAGCUGAGACUGGCUCCUGGCUGACAGCCAGCAAGGAAAUGAGGACCUCAGUCCUCCAAUCAUGAAGCAGACUCCGACUUCUGCUAACAACCUGAAUACACUUCAAAGAGGAUUCUGAGCUCCAGCCGCCUACACAUUGAUUUCAGCUGUUGGGACCCUCAGCCGAGAACCCAGCUAUGCCGUGCCCAGAUGUAAGACCUACACAUCUGUGAGCUUGUAAGUGUGUGUUGCUUUAAGCCACUAAGUUUGUGGUAAUAUGUUUCACUGCAAUAUGAAACUAAUACUUCUGUGUGCAGUUAUAGUUUGUUCAAUCUUAUUGCUAUAUAGUAUGCCAUCAAACGACUGUGGCACAACUUAUCCAUUCUACAGCUGAUGGACAUCUGGGUAGUUGCUGCCAUCAGCCUUCCAGUGCAUGGUUUUUUGGGUGAAAACAUGCAUGCAUAUCUGCUGGGUAUCUAUUUCUAGAAGUAAAAUUGCUAGGUCAGAGAGUAUACAUAUGUUCAGCUUUAGCAAUUACUGCCAAAGUUUUUCCAAAGGGAAAAUUAUUUUUAAUAGGUAUUUUAUCCAGAUUUGCCACGACCUAAUAAGGAAUUCGUCCCCACAAUAAAACUAACUGGCUAACCUAAUAGCAAAAAGCCCACCCAAUCAAGAGCCAAGAUAGUUGAGGGACAACAACAGCUCCAAAGGCACCCACUCUCCCUUGAGGAGGUACUCAACAGUUAGGUCUCCUGCAUGAAUUGGCAGUGAAUGAGAUUGAUGCUGGCAUUAGGAAUAGCUAGAACUUUGCAGCAAGACUCUAUGUAGAAUAGAUUUUGGUCACUUGAUCCUCUGCACAUGAUCAGCAAUAGUCCAGUGGUCUCUGCUGACACUGCUCUUCUAAUCCUAAUGGCAUUUUAAUUCUGACUAUCUUCAUAUCAGAGGUAUCUUUAACACACACACAAACACCUCACAGGCAUCUCUAGUGAAGCUGGAGACCUAAGAUCUCAAAACAUGGAGGUCUGAAGUCCCUUUUGUUCCUAUCAGUAUGGAGCUAGAUUCCAUUUUAAGCCAAAUUUAUAUUCUGAUUGUAGAAUUGCAGCAAACACUCAGAAGGCCUUGCAAACAAAAGAGUAAACACAUGGAUAAAUGAUCACUAUGCCAGAUUCAGUGAACACCAUUUUUAUAUUCUAAUUGCCAGGAAUGGGGACAGCUGCAUCAUUGUUUAAAACACACACUCAUGCACAAUUAAGCCAGAACAAAUGUCAACACUGGCACCAUCUGCUAAAUUACUGAUAACUGAUGAGCAUUACUCAUGCUGUGAGCAUUGUCUCCAAUAUAAAAUGGAAAGACUUUUUCAAAAACUUAGAGGUUUCUACCAGUUUUAAAAAGCCAGUUUUUAUAUCAUACAGCACAACUGCAACCUGUCAGAUUAUGUAAGUGACAUUUCACCCAUGUGUUCGAGGAGUAUGUGAUAAGUACAUGCUGUUUUUGUGCCUCUUUACAUUUAUGUUAACAAGCCAGGCCUUCAAGAGGCUGAUUCCUGGCUCUGGGACACUUUGUCUGUGAUGAGGGUAUCUUGCUGUCAGGUGAGCAGAAAUGCCCAGUUAUAACCUUGUAAUCAGAGAGCCAGGGUUUUGCCAUUACAUGGUCAACUGCAGACACAAGACUCUACUUCAUCAGUCUCGUUUUUAAUAAAUUAUAUAACAGAAAAAUGAUUUAAACCCCUUGUUCAGUCCCCUUAUGAAGUACAAAUUGUAUCCAAUAUAAUUUAUGAAAAAUCAUUUAUAAUCUUGAACCUGGAGAUGAAGCCACCUUUCAGCUUUCAUAUCUCCAAGCUGAGAAGCAUCCUCCUGCCUGUCUCAGCAUCACUCCCAGAUAUUCUUCUCCUGCAUUUGUUCCAAUUUAUCCAGUUUGUUUCAAAGGGUAGAGAUAUUAUUAUUAGUAAUCCAUAAACCACCUGAUGCAUCAUAGUACAGAAAGAUUCUCUUGCACCUCAGGCAUGUCACACUCCUACAGUAUGUUCCUGUACUUGCCAGAAACAGCAUCACUGGAAUAAGGUCACUCAGAUCACAUUCAGAUGACAUGCUGGACAUAAUGGACCUAGAAUCUCCUUUUCUUACCUUAAAGGCUGGGCUGUAGGGUAGAAACACUUGGAUCAGGUUCUGCCCUUUGAUGAAUUCAGCUAAGAGAAUGUAUUUUUUAAUUUCCAAGCCAGUGCAAGCCCCUAGACGCAUUUUGUUGGUGGUCUGUAUAAUGCUGAGACUUUCAGAGGAAUGCCCUAUAAAUACAGCUGCUUAAAAAUGUUUAAUAUUCCUUGGGUACCUGAGAAGAGAAAAGGGAUGAGUGUUCCACUGUGAUCAUCUACUUCUGAAGCACCAAGGGAUGUUUCAAAUCCUAACACCAUGGCCACAGUAAAGCAUGUGUCAUUUAACCACCAUCCUAAAUUCUAAAAGCUCCAUGCAUUGGGUAGACAUGGCUAGUAUGGACACUAUGUGCUAGACAUUGUAUGACAUGCUAGGGAAACGAGAAUCAGUCAUUCACAGUCUGUGCCUAGAAAGGAGUUUAAAUUCCCAUGAGGAAGACAGACAGUGCCCUAUAGUAGGAUUAAGAUCUGUCUAACCCAAAUUGGGAGUGACAGAGAGGUCAGUGGGCAGGGGGCAGAAUGGCAAGGAAGGUUUCCAGAGGAGGUAGUGUUUGACCUGAAUUGUGAUGCGUGAGGACGUUCAGCCAGGUAAAGAGGUGGGACAAGGUACUGUAGGUGGAGGCUGGCAGUGGGUGAUGGGGUACAGUUGGCUCAACACGGCUGAAGAGAUUAGGCUGGGUGGGUGAGUGCGAGACAGAGCACAGAGAAUUGGGAUUUUAUCCAUGAAACCAUUGCAAGAUUUUAAGUAGGGGAAUGAUAUGAUCAGAUUUGCAUUUUAGAUAAUCAAGCUGCAGGCUAGUGGAGCACAGUUUGAGGGUUCAAAGACUGAAAAGGCACGGAGAUGCCGGCUUGUCUUUCUUUUCCCUGAUCAGACCAGACCCCUUCCCUUGGCCUCCCCUUCCCACCACAUACCUCAUUGGCAGGCAGCCCUACUAUGAGCUCAUAUUAUUGUACCAAUUUGAGAAUUAAUUAUCUGCCUCCUUCCAGGGUAGCAGGAAAAGAGUAGAGAAACAUGAUUACUGACUGCUUUAUAGAAGCUGUCACCAUAUUAAGUGCUUCAUCAUUCAAUUCACCUGAGAUGCAUGGAAAUAGGUUAAGCUUGAUUGAGGCUGGUCCACCGCAAAACUGUGCAGUUAGCAGAGUUUGUUUUUGGUACAUAUACCCUUUUGUUACUCUGCAGCCCCCUCUGCUCUAUAGGUUCCUGGUAUAAUAACACUCUCUUCCCCUCCCUUUUGGAACCUCUGCUCUUGGGAAAGGCUUUGAUAGCUUUCUCUUAAAUACUAGUGUUCCUGAUGGGAGAAAUUUAACCUGAAGCAUCCUCUCUGACUGCAAUGAAGGUGUUGUCCUGUUAGAACUGCACUCAGAGCACUGUAAAGAAUUAUAUAAGUAGCCAUCACCUUAACCACAUCCUCAAACAUUUUCAAUGCAAUCUAGCGGAGAAUGAUUUUCUGAAAGAAUACAUAUCUGAUUUUAUAACAGAAAUAAAUGGAAAUAUGAUUUGUUUUAUAGAAAAUGUCUUGCCCUCUAACUAUUAAUAUGUCAAUAUUUAUAUAUGAACUACAAUAAGAACAGCUACAACAAGAUUGAUGUAUACUGCCUGAACGCCCUGAAAAUAGAUCAUUGUCCGCAAGUGUAGUUACCAAUAUAACAGCCUAGUCUUGCUGUGCUAUGAGUUUGCCUGGAUUGCCAUUACUUAUAGGCCAAGUAGACUGUGGUGAAUGCCAGAUACUAGCCAACUUUUUCUGAAAGAGCCAGAUGAUAAAUAUCAUAAACUUUGUGGCCCAGACAGGUUCUGUUGCAACUCCCAACUCUGCCACUGUAGUGUGAAAACAUAGACAAUGGAGAACGAAUGUGAAUGGCCAGAGUUGCUCCACAGGAUUGCUAACUCCUGCUCCACACUUUGUGAUAUGCAGAUCCCAUGCAAGAAGUCCCACCUCAUUUCCCUGAAGAGUCACCAUAAAAGGCAUUCCAUGUUUAGACAUCAUAUUUACAAAGGCCUAAUAAAUAAUAACAUGUUAAUCUAUUAUCCACCAUCAACAUGUUAGCACAGUUUUAUUUAUCCUUGAAGUGAACCUGGAGAUCACAGGAUGACCUUUCUAUGCAUACACUCUCCUCUAACUUUGACCAGCGGUCUCAUAAAUACACGUCCCAGGUCACCAUGGACAACUAAACAAAUAUAUGGGUUGCUUGGUGAGAUUUCACCUCCACUUAUGAAGACAAUAAAUUCUUGUGUCCU
rnacentral:lncRNA from 10 species